UGCCUAAAACAUAGAGUUAAUGCACUAGAUCCAAUUAGAAAUCCACAUUUAAUCGCGAUGAGGCUAGAGUAGUACUGGGAUGUGUGACCGCUCAGGAAGUCUUAGUAUUUUACAUGC
rnacentral:rRNA from 1 species